ACACAUGCAGUCGAGCGGUAGAGAGAAGCUUGCUUCUCUUGAGAGCGGCGGACGGGUGAGUAAUGCCUAGGAAUCUGCCUGGUAGUGGGGGAUAACGUUCGGAAACGGACGCUAAUACCGCAUACGUCCUACGGGAGAAAGCAGGGGACCUUCGGGCCUUGCGCUAUCAGAUGAGCCUAGGUCGGAUUAGCUAGUUGGUGAGGUAAUGGCUCACCAAGGCGACGAUCCGUAACUGGUCUGAGAGGAUGAUCAGUCACACUGGAACUGAGACACGGUCCAGACUCCUACGGGAGGCAGCAGUGGGGAAUAUUGGACAAUGGGCGAAAGCCUGAUCCAGCCAUGCCGCGUGUGUGAAGAAGGUCUUCGGAUUGUAAAGCACUUUAAGUUGGGAGGAAGGGUUGUAGAUUAAUACUCUGCAAUUUUGACGUUACCGACAGAAUAAGCACCGGCUAACUCUGUGCCAGCAGCCGCGGUAAUACAGAGGGUGCAAGCGUUAAUCGGAAUUACUGGGCGUAAAGCGCGCGUAGGUGGUUUGUUAAGUUGGAUGUGAAAUCCCCGGGCUCAACCUGGGAACUGCAU
rnacentral:rRNA from 1 species